UUUGCUGGGGAAGACAGUCUGGGUUAUUCCUGCUUCAGGUAAAGGCAAACCCACCUGUGGGAUUGCUUUUGCUCAGGGACCCGGAUAUACUUGGUGGGUAAUGUGGGAAGAUGGGGAAGUCCAAUGUAUACCUCAAGGGGAUUUGAUUUUAGGGGAAAACAGCCAAUGAACUCAAUUGUAUGUUGUUGCCUGCUAUGUAAUACUUUUAUAGUCCACCAACUAAAUGUCUUCAGGUCACGAGCGACUGGCCCUGACUUCCCUCCGACCAUCAUCCCAACAAAGAAUGAACUUUGAUAGAACCAGACGAAUUCUGCAGUAAAGGAACGAUCAUCAUCAACAGGCAACAAUCCAACACUGCACACUGCCUCUCCUGUUCUGAAAGAUUGUUACAAGAGAUGGAACCCAACAUCAUGGACAGAAUGGACUCAGCAGCUUUAUAGGGAUUGGUCCAUGCACUAAGAAAUGAUCUCUCUCUCUCCAUCUGUGUGUGUGUAUGCGUGCAUAUAUAUAUAUAUAUACGUGAUGGUAUAUUGAAAAUAUGGGAUCUGAGCAUGACGUGAAUGGUAUGGAAUAAGGGGUGGAUAAUGUACUGGGUUCAGCAGUAGCAGUCAUUUUUCUCCUUGGUAGCUGGUGCAGCACUGUGUUUUGACUUUUGGCCUGGGAACAGAGCUGAUAACAAGCGAUAGUUGAUAAUGCUCAAAUGUUUGGUCUGGCCAAGGACUUUUCUGAGCCUCAUGCUCUGCCAGGGAGGAGGGGAAGCUGGGAGGAAGCAGAGACAGGACACCUGACCCAAACUGACCAAAGAGGUAUUCCAUACCACAGCAUGUCAUGCCCAGGAUGUAACUGAGAGUUACCUGGAAGGGCUAGGGCACUGCGGGGUUGGACGAGGUAUCGGUUGGUGCUCGGUCGGGUGGAGUGGGGCAAGUCAUCCAUCAGCUGGUGCUGAGAUGUUGUAUUCUCUUCCCUUAUUAUUUCCAUUAUCAUUAUUAUUAUUGGUGGUAGCAGCAGUGAUUUGUGUUAUACCUUAGUUACUAAACUGUUCUUAUCUCAA